CCUACGGGUGGCAGCAGUAGGGAAUCUUUCACAAUGGGCGAAAGCCUGAUGGAGCAACGCCGCUUGCAGGAUGAAGGCCUUCGGGUUGUAAACUGCUUUUAUAAGCGAGAAAUAUGAUGGUAACUUAUGAAUAAGGAUCGGCUAACUACAUGCCAGCAGCCGCGGUCAUACGUAGGAUCCGAGCAUUAUCCGGAGUGACUGGGUGUAAAGAGUUGCGUAGGUGGCAUAAUAAGUAGCUAGUGAAAUCUGGUGGCUCAACCAUUCAGACUAUUAGCUAAACUGUUAAGCUCGAGACCGUUAGGGGUAACUGGAAUUUCUAGUGUAGGAGUGAAAUCCGUAGAUAUUAGAAGGAACACCAAUAGCGUAGGCAGGUUGCUGGGACGGUUCUGACACUAAGGCACGAAAGCGUAGGGAGCAAACGGGAUUAGAUACCCGAGUAGUC
rnacentral:rRNA from 1 species